rnacentral:rRNA from 1 species
UGGGGAAUAUUGGACAAUGGGGGGAACCCUGAUCCAGCCAUGCCGCGUGUGUGAAGAAGGCCUUAUGGUUGUAAAGCACUUUAAGCGAGGAGGAGGGUACUGGUAUUAAUACUACCAGGUACUGGACGUUACUCGCAGAAUAAGCACCGGCUAACUCUGUGCCAGCAGCCGCGGUAAUACAGAGGGUGCGAGCGUUAAUCGGAUUUACUGGGCGUAAAGCGUGCGUAGGCGGCUAAUUGAGUCGGAUGUGAAAUCCCCGAGCUUAACUUGGGAAUUGCAUUCGAUACUGGUUGGCUAGAGUGUGGGAGAGGAUGGUAGAAUUCCAGGUGUAGCGGUGAAAUGCGUAGAGAUCUGGAGGAAUACCGAUGGCGAAGGCAGUCAUCUGGCCUAACACUGACGCUGAGGUACGAAAGCAUGGGGAGCAAACAGG